ACCCCCUCAGCGCCGUUUCCACAAAAAAGACCAAACCCCUCUUUCUUCUUCUUUAUUUUCUCCACACGACACACAGAUCAGAGACCCAAAAAGAUGAAGCACCUUUCCUCUAUCCCCACUCUGUCCACUAUCGUAGAGUGCAAAUAACUGACAUAUUUGCUUAAAACCCUCUUUCCAAUUUUUUCUUUCUUCCUUUUAAAACACUUUUCAAAGGUGAAUACUGUACAACUUCAAGAAUCUAUUGAAGCAUUAAUUAACAACUAAAAAAGAUGGAGGAAAAUGGUAUAGCAAGCGAUGUAGCUCGACCUAUUGUGGCUGCCCUUGAUUGGAACUCUUCUCCCGAUGCUCGUAAAGCCGUUUAUUCCUAUUUAGGAUCCAAGUUGUCGAAGCUCUAAUUGGAGCUGUCUUGCUGCGAUUGUUGUUUGUUGUGGAUGGGAAAUUGCUGCUGAGCUUCGUUUCGCUUUUCCUUCGUUUCUUUUAAAAUACAAGGUACACAAUUGAUUUGUUGAACCUUGUAAGUCUGAAAUUUGAAGCAUGAAUAUGAAAUGAAGAACUGAAGUUUUAACAUUUAGCUUUGUAUAUUCUGAAAUUUUAAGUUGUGUAAUAUAGUAGUUAGUUUCAUCUGUUAAAAGCAUGUAGUAGCUUUGCUAUGUACAACUGAGUAUCGAGCAGUAGUAUUGGAUAGACUGCCCUGCAUGUUAGUUUAAAGAACCAAUAAUGUAGUGGUAGCAUUCUGAUAUUUCAGUUUAUUUCUUUACAAAGCAUGUUUCAAAUACGUAUAAAGACUUUAGGUUAAUUAAUCAGUA